rnacentral:tRNA from 5 species
GGUGGGGUGGCCGAGUGGUGAGGCAGCGGCCUGCAAAGCCGUCUACGCGGGUUCGACUCCCGUCCCCACCU